UAGGACGAAAAUCCGUUGGUUUCACGGGACCGUGAGGGUUCGAAUCCCUCUAUCCCCAAC
rnacentral:tRNA from 4 species